GGUCACGUUCAGUGAAAUGUACUCCUACACUUCACCUGUAUGGCAUACCAGUGUCUCCACACUCCUUGGUUAAGAGGACAACCAACGUAUAUGUCACACAACGACCUAAUCUCAAUAAUGUUGUCGUCCUAGUAACAACAUAUCAUUUGGUCGCGAACAAGUUUAAGGACUCAAGGAUAAAUCCUCCUUUAUCAUAACAUAAAUCCUA
rnacentral:lncRNA from 1 species